AUUGAACGCUGGCGGCAGGCCUAACACAUGCAAGUCGAGCGAGCGGCGGACGGGUGAGUAAUGUAUGGGGACUGCCCGAUAGAGGGGGAUAACUACUGGAAACGGUGGCUAAUACCGCAUACUAUCGGAUAACCCAUAUGGGAUUUGCUAGUAGGGGGGGUAAAGGCUCACCUAGGCGACGAUCUCUAGCUGGUCUGAGAGGAUGAUCGGGCACACGGGGACUGGGACACGGACCAGACUCCUACGGAGGCAGCAGUGGGGAAUAUUGCACAAUGGGCGCAAGCCUGAUGCAGCCAUGCCGGGUGUAUGAAGAAGGCCUUAGGGUUGUAAAGUACUUUCAGCGGGGAGGCGUUACCCGCAGAAGAAGCGCCGGCUAACUCCGUGCCAGCAGCCGCGGUAAUAC
rnacentral:rRNA from 1 species